UACGGGGGAGCAAGCGUUGUUCGGAUUUACUGGGCGUAAAGGGCGCGUAGGCGGCCACCGCAAGUCGACUGUGAAAUCUCCGGGCUUAACCCGGAAAGGUCAGCCGAUACUGCGGGCUAGAGUGCAGAAGGGGCAACUGGAAUUCUCGGUGUAGCGGUGAAAUGCGUAGAUAUCGAGAGGAACACCUGCGGCGAAGGCGGGUUGCUGGGCUGACACUGACGCUGAUGUGCGAAAGCGUGGGGAGCAAACAGG
rnacentral:rRNA from 1 species